UUCAGGUGGUAUAACGACAUUGAUUGAUAUGCCCCUCAACAGUUAUCCUUCCACAGUGUCUGUAGAAACACUAAAACUCAAGGUCGACGCAGCACAUGAGAAAAUAUAUGUCGAUGUUGGUUUCUGGGGAGGUCUAGUGACUGUACUUAGAAAUCUCAUACAUCAUAUAUGCUAUUGUGGAUGAGAAUUACUCAUGUUCAUAUUCUUCUGGGCUUUCCUAGUCAUAUGCCAGUGGAGAGUAGUUCCUUCGCUGCACACCUGCAAUUUGCAUGUAACUGCAAUUCUCUCUGAGUUUUUGCCUGUUAAA